rnacentral:rRNA from 1 species
GACGAACGCUGGCGGCGUGCUUAACACAUGCAAGUCGAACGAUGAAACCUAGCUUGCUAGGUCGAUUAGUGGCGAACGGGUGAGUAACACGUGACUAACCUGCCCCUUGCUCUGGGAUAACGCUCCGAAAGGAGUGCUAAUACCGGAUACUCACAUCGAGGCACAUGCCUUGGUGUGGAAAGUUUUUCGGAAAGGGAUGGAGUCGCGGCCUAUCAGCUUGUUGGUGAGGUAACGGCUCACCAAGGCGACGACGGGUAGCCGGCCUGAGAGGGCGACGUGCCACACUGGGACUGGGACACGGCCCAGACUGCUACGGGAGGCAGCAGUGGGGAGGAAUGCACAAUGGGCGCAAGCCUGAUGCAGCGACGCCGCGUGAGGGGGGAAGGUCUUCGGAUUGUAAACCUCUUUCAGUAGGGACGAAGCGAAAGUGACGGUACCUAAAGAAGAAGCACCGGCUAACUACGUGCCAGCAGCCGCGGUAA